rnacentral:rRNA from 1 species
UGGGGAAUUUUGGACAAUGGGCGAAAGCCUGAUCCAGCAAUGCCGCGUGUGUGAAGAAGGCCUUCGGGUUGUAAAGCACUUUUGUCCGGAAAGAAAUCCUUGGCUCUAAUACAGUCGGGGGACGACGGUACCGGAAGAAUAAGCACCGGCUAACUACGUGCCAGCAGCCGCGGUAAUACGUAGGGUGCAAGCGUUAAUCGGAAUUACUGGGCGUAAAGCGUGCGCAGGCGGUUUGCUAAGACCGAUGUGAAAUCCCCGGGCUCAACCUGGGAACUGCAUUGGUGACUGGCAGGCUAGAGUAUGGCAGAGGGGGGUAGAAUUCCACGUGUAGCAGUGAAAUGCGUAGAGAUGUGGAGGAAUACCGAUGGCGAAGGCAGCCCCCUGGGCCAAUACUGACGCUCAUGCACGAAAGCGUGGGGAGCAAACAGGAUUAGAUACCCUGGUAGUCCACGCCCUAAACGAUGUCAACUAGUUGUUGGGGACUUCAUUUCCUUAGUAACGUAGCUAACGCGUGAAGUUGACCGCCUGGGGAGUACGGUCGCAAGAUU